GGAAGUAAGAUCCCUGAAAGAUGAUCAGGUUGAUAGGUCUGAGGUGGAAGUGUGGCGACACAUGGAGCUGACAGAUACUAAUCGAUCGAGGACUUAACCCA
rnacentral:rRNA from 1 species